AUUGAACGCUGGCGGCAGGCCUAACACAUGCAAGUCGAACGAGCGGCGGACGGGUGAGUAAUGUCUGGGAAACUGCCUGAUGGAGGGGGAUAACUACUGGAAACGGUAGCUAAUACCGCAUACCAUCGGAUGUGCCCAGAUGGGAUUAGCUAGUAGGGGGGGUAAAGGCUCACCUAGGCGACGAUCCCUAGCUGGUCUGAGAGGAUGACCCGCCAACAUGGAACUGAGACACGGUCCAGACUCCGACGGGAGGCAGCAGUGGGGAAUAUUGCACAAUGGGCGCAAGCCUGAUGCAGCCAUGCCGCGUGUGUGAAGAAGGCCUUCGGGUUGGAAAGCACUUUCAGCGGGGAGGCGUUACCCGCAGAAGAAGCACCGGCUAACUCCGUGCCAGCAGCCGCGGUAAUAC
rnacentral:rRNA from 1 species